rnacentral:tRNA from 1 species
GCGGUUGUAGUUUAGUGGUGAGAAUUCCACGUUGUGGCCAUGGAGACCUGGGCUCAAAUCCCAACAGCCACA